UGGGGAAUUUUGGACAAUGGGCGAAAGCCUGAUCCAGCAAUGCCGCGUGUGUGAAGAAGGCCUUCGGGUUGUAAAGCACUUUUGUCCGGAAAGAAAUCCUCUGGGUUAAUACCUCGGGGGGAUGACGGUACCGGAAGAAUAAGCACCGGCUAACUACGUGCCAGCAGCCGCGGUAAUACGUAGGGUGCAAGCGUUAAUCGGAAUUACUGGGCGUAAAGCGUGCGCAGGCGGUUUUGUAAGACGGAUGUGAAAUCCCCGGGCUUAACCUGGGAACUGCAUUCGUGACUGCAAGGCUAGAGUAUGGCAGAGGGGGGUAGAAUUCCACGUGUAGCAGUGAAAUGCGUAGAGAUGUGGAGGAAUACCGAUGGCGAAGGCAGCCCCCUGGGCCAAUACUGACGCUCAUGCACGAAAGCGUGGGGAGCAAACAGGAUUAGAUACCCUGGUAGUCCACGCCCUAAACGAUGUCAACUAGUUGUUGGGGAUUCAUUUCCUUAGUAACGUAGCUAA
rnacentral:rRNA from 1 species